UAUUUCUCCGUACGGGGAAGGAUGAGAAGCUUCGACUAAGGUUCGAUUCGAGCGCAGCGAGAAAGCGUUGC
rnacentral:sRNA from 2 species